UGAAACAAUUGAUGACAGAUUUUGGAAUUAUGUCCAAUACAAGAAUAGCAUAGAAUAGUGAAACCAUCAAGUGAACAUUCUGAAACAUCUAUUGACGUAUGGAACUGUAAAUAGCUCAACAUCAGUGAAUCGCUUCAAUUGAACCGUAAAACGUGUAUAAUAAGUUCGAAGUGAGCUUAAACAAUGGUAUUUCCAGAUCAAAGAGACCUGCAUUUACAUAACUAAACCAAUUCGCGUUUGCUCUGUGAAUCCAUUCGAAUGUUAAUAGGAUCCUUAAUCAGGAGAACGUGUGUGGCUGUUCGUUAAAUUUACACCAACCGCAAACAAAUCAAACAGACACUGUGAGUGCAGGUGACCGGCUGAGAGGACAAAUGAUUUCAUUUUGAGGCUGGUCCGAAAGUGGUUAAACACGAUAACACCAUUACCACCCAGUUUUUCAUCAGUGAGUCAUUAGAGACAAUUUGAUGAAAUAAUGAGGGAUUUAAUGAAAACAUGAGUCAAAUGCUCAGUUCGAGUAAGAGGAAAUAAAAUUAUUUAAAAUAAAUGCUAAAACUUCUCCCUGUCCAAUAGAAGCAAAGAAAAAUGUUAGUUUCUGGUCCCGCGAGUAAGAAUUCAUCGAAAUCCAAUCUGGAAACCAUAGAAGUUCAUAUGCGGAAAUUUAAUUAGAGUAACAACCCACCUGUACUGACAAAUGUCUGAAUUAAUUUUUUGCAUGGUUAUUUGACAAGUACCUAUACCAUCGUAAGCAUCUGGAUAGUUGUUGUUCACAAACAACGUACGAUUUUCUCGCACAAAAGUACCGCAAGACUGCAGAACUACGAUAAAAAUAAAUUAGAAUUGGGAUUUUGAGUUCCUAGAAUGCACUGAUAAAGGAUUUGUGAACAAAAUCAAUUCUGUCUGGCCAG